AGGGGGAUGGCUCAGUGGUAGGGCAAGUGCUUAGCAUGCUUAAGGGCCUGGGUUCAAUCCCCAGUACCUCCA
rnacentral:tRNA from 1 species